UUACAUACAUAUACAUGUGGAGUUACUUGCUGAAACUCGGUUUUACAGUGAAAACUGCAGGUACUUCAAACCGGCACUAAGAAGCACACUGAGAAACCAG